AUACACCAUAAACAAAACGCAUUGAUUUAUGGCCCGAGUUCGGUCUCUGUCACAAUAUGUACUUAGACAGACAGCCAGGUGUGAUACUUGUACACAUGACAUGUUAUGAUGUCUGUUGGUUGCAAAUUGUUAUACACAA